CCCUUAGAUGUUCUGGGCCGCACGCGUGCUACACUGAGUGGAUCAGCGGGUCAGGUUGCGCGAAAGUGUUUCCUAAUCUUUAAAUCCGCUCGUGAUGGGGAUUGACGGUUGCAAUUUUCUGUCAUGAACGAGGAAUACCUUGUAAGCGCGGGUCAUCAUCCCGCGCUGAAUACGUCCCUGCCCUUUGUACACACCGCCCGUCGCUCCUACCGAUUGAAUGAUCCGAUGAAUAUCAUGGAUUGAGGAUGCAAGCAGGUUCGCCUGUCUUCAUCUUCGAGAAGUGAAGUAAAUCUUAUCAUUUAGAGGAAGGAGAAGUCGUAACA
rnacentral:rRNA from 1 species